UGAGCCGGGAAUGGAAAGACCGGUACAAGCGAGGUAGGAGAAGAGUUGGCAAAUCCGCUCUUUAAUCUGAAGACGUGAUGUGGACUGAAAAUAAGUAGGGAAGCACGUGAGCUGACUGUCAAGAAAAGCCGCUAUUGUUUGCAGGAUACCCGUACCGUAAACCGACACAGGUGGAUGAGGAGAGAAUCCUAAGGCCGACGGGAGAAGCAUUGUUAAGGAACUCGGCAAAAUGACUCCGUAACUUCGGGAGAAGGAGUGCCAGUAAGAUGGCCGCAGAGAAUUGGCCCAAGCAACUGUUUAGCAAAAACACAGGUCUAUGCAAAACCGAAAGGUGAGGUAUAUGGGCUGACGCCUGCCCGGUGCUGGAAGGUUAAGGGGAGAGGUUAGCGCAAGCGAAGCUUUGAACUUAAGCCCCAGUAAACGGCGGCCGUAACAAUAACGGUCCUAAGGUAGCGAAAUUCCUUGUCGGGUAAGUUCCGACCCGCACGAAAGGCGUAAUGAUUUGGGCACUGUCUCAACAAUGCACCCGGUGAAAUUGAAAUACCAGUGAAGAUGCUGGUUACCUGCGCCAGGACGGAAAGACCCCAUGGAGCUUUACUCCAGCUUGAUACUGGGAUUCGGUAUUGCAUGUACAGGAUAGGUGGGAGGCUAGGAAAUGGUAACGCCAGUUGCCAUGGAGCCAAUGUUGGGAUACCACCCUUGCAGUACUGGGUUUCUAACCAGCAGCCGUGAUCCGGCUGGGAGACAAUGUCAGGUGGGGAGUUUGACUGGGGCGGUCGCCUCCGAAAGGGUAUCGGAGGCGCUCAAAGGUUCCCUCAGAAUGGUUGGAAACCAUUCGAAGAGUGCAAAGGCAGAAGGGAGCUUGACUGCGACACCGACGGGUGGAGCAGGUACGAAAGUAGGACUUAGUGAUCCGGUGGUAUAAAGUGGGAUUGCCAUCGCUCAACGGAUAAAAGCUACCCUGGGAUAACAGGCUUAUCACUCCCAAGAGUUCACAUCGACGGAGUGGUUUGGCACCUCGAUGUCGGCUCAUCGCAUCCUGGGGCUGAAGUAGGUCCCAAGGGUUGGGCUGUUCGCCCAUUAAAGCGGUACGCGAGCUGGGUUCAGAACGUCGUGAGACAGUUCGGUCCCUAUCCGGCGUGGGCGUAAGAUAUUUGAGAGGAGCUGUCCUUAGUACGAGAGGAUCGGGAUGGACUGGCCGCUGGUGUAUCUGUUGUCUUACCAAAGGCAUAGCAGAGUAGCCAAGCCGGGAAGGGAUAAACGCUGAAGGCAUCUAAGCGUGAAGCCCCCCUCAAGAUGAGAUAUCUCAUAACGUCAAGUUAGUAAGACCCCUUGAAGACGACGAGGUAGAUAGGGCAGAGGUGGAAGUGUGGUAACACAUGGAGCUGACUGUUACUAAUAGGUCGAGGGCAUAACUA
rnacentral:rRNA from 1 species